rnacentral:rRNA from 1 species
UACGUAGGUGGCAAGCGUUAUCCGGAUUUACUGGGUGUAAAGGGAGCGUAGGCAGCGGGGCAAGCCUGAUGUGAAAGCCCGGGGCUCAACCCCGGGACUGCAUUGGGAACUGCCCUGCUGGAGUGCCGGAGGGGCAGGCGGAAUUCCUAGUGUAGCGGUGAAAUGCGUAGAUAUUAGGAGGAACACCAGUGGCGAAGGCGGCCUGCUGGACGGUGACUGACGCUGAGGCUCGAAAGCGUGGGAAGCAAACAGG